UGCCGCGUGCAGGAUGAAGGCCUUCGGGUUGUAAACUGCUUUUGUACGGAACGAAACGGCGAGCUCUAAUACAGUUUGCUAAUGACGGUACCGUAAGAAUAAGCACCGGCUAACUACGUGCCAGCAGCCGCGGUAAUACGUAGGGUGCGAGCGUUAAUCGGAAUUACUGGGCGUAAAGCGUGCGCAGGCGGUGAUGUAAGACAGAUGUGAAAUCCCCGGGCUCAACCUGGGACCUGCAUUUGUGACUGCAUCGCUAGAGUACGGCAGAGGGGGAUGGAAUUCCGCGUGUAGCAGUGAAAUGCGUAGAUAUGCGGAGGAACACCGAUGGCGAAGGCAAUCCCCUGGGCCUGUACUGACGCUCAUGCACGAAAGCGUGGGGAGCAAACAGGAUUAGAUACCCUGGUAGUCCACGCCCUAAACGAUGUCAACUGGUUGUUGGGUCUUCACUGACUCAGUAACGAAGCUAA
rnacentral:rRNA from 1 species